AUGGAGAAGCAAAAAGCCAUCCUAAAAUUUUUCCGGACUCUCUCAGAGGAGCAAAAUGAGGACAUAAUGCAAGGAGACACGGAGCUGAGCUUCAAUCUGAAGAAAAAUGGGGAUAUGAGAUUUGAAGAUGCUCUGGAGAGCAGUAGAGACUCCUUAUUGUACUUUAUAUCGCCUCUGGAAGAAGAGGAGAUCACCUCAAACCCAGUGGGACGUUUAGGAAAUGACACAGAGAUGACAGAUGAGGAGAGGAAUAAUGUCAACCUGACGGAGCGGCAACGCAAGGCCGCAAACGAUGAAAAUGUCUCAGAGAGGUGCUGUGACAGUGGCGGCAGCGUAUCGCCGGAUGAAUGCGCUUUGAAGGAAUCCCGGCAAGCAGAGUGUCGACACGUUUCAACUGAGCGCACAGGUAACGAUUGUGAUUGUGUUGCACCAAUGGGUGUUGAGGAGGAUGACACAGAGGAGUCCAACCAGAGAGCGGGAAAAGACAAUCAUCACUGCCAGGAAGAUUUCAUCGUUCCUGAUCCCGAUUGGGGUGCUGAUCCUGGGAAAUCAACCAAAGGUUGGCCAUCCGAAGCCGAACAUGUCGUGAUGACAACAACUCAGACAGGAGCUCGAGUCGAGGUGCAAACUGUCAGCCCUCCGUGUUUUAAAGAUGAUGACGAAGAAGAGAAAAGCUGUGCAGAAGAGGAAAAUGAAGAAGAAGAAGAAAACGAAAAAAGAGACGUAUUCCCGGACUCUUCCGCCCAACUUCCCUUUCCUUCCAUCCCUAAAGACACAAAUAUCGUCAUAACACCUGCAGGUAAUAACCCUCCAACUGGAUCCACCUUCACCAGAGCCACCUUCUCGCCAGGCUCCCCAACAGAUAAGCAGGUCCAGCUCCCAGCCCUCUUCAGCGCGAUGAGGGUCCUGAGGAAGGGGGUGGUCGGGCCCGAGCACGACACCGUGGCCCCGAUCAGGAGGGACGUUUCCCCUGAGAAGCAAGGGGAUGCUAAAGUCCAGGGGGGCUUCCUGGAGCAGAUCUCCCAGCUCCUCAGCAAGGAGAAGAAGGAAGGGGGGGCUGAGGAAGAUGAGGACGACACCAGAGAGAAGGGUGAAGAAGGUGAAGAGUGCGAGAGUAAGGAAGUCCGAACAGAGGAGGGUGCAGAGGUUUCAAAUGAGCGUAGAAAACCUUCUGUGUCCAGUGCGGAGGCAGCAUUCGACGCGUUCAAAGCAUUUUUCACCCCAAAGCCUCUGAAGAAGGACCCAGCAGACAAGGUGGACCUGGAGGCCGUGAGGAAGAAGAUCAGAGCGGAUAAAGACGCGCUGAGAGCGCUUUUUGACAGGACCGCCAAUAAGACGCCAGAGAAGAAAGACUCCCCUGACCUUAAAGUAUGA
rnacentral:lncRNA from 1 species